AAGGAAUAUUGGACAAUGGAGGCAACUCUGAUCCAGCCAUGCCGCGUGAAGGAAUAAGGCCCUAUGGGUUGUAAACUUCUUUUAGACGGGACAAAACCCCUUUACGUGUAAAGGGUUGAUGGUACUGUCAGAAUAAGCACCGGCUAACUUCGUGCCAGCAGCCGCGGUAAUACGAAGGAUGCAAGCGUUAUCCGGAAUUAUUGGGUUUAAAGGGUGCGUAGGCGGACUAAUAAGUCAGUGGUGAAAGCCUGCAGCUUAACUGCAGAAUUGCCAUUGAUACUGUUAGUCUUGAGUACAGUUGAGGUAGGCGGAAUGUGUCAUGUAGCGGUGAAAUGCUUAGAUAUGACACAGAACACCGAUUGCGAAGGCAGCUUGCUAAGCUGUAACUGACGCUGAGGCACGAAAGCGUGGGGAGCAAACA
rnacentral:rRNA from 1 species